AACCCAGCCCUCAGAAACAAAAGAAGUGGAGCCAGAGCCAACUGAGGACAAAGAUGUGGAAGCUGAUGAAGAGGACAGCAGGAAAAAAGAUACUUCUGAUGAUCUAGAUGACUUGAACUUCUUUAAUCAAAAGAAAAAGAAGAAAAAAA